rnacentral:rRNA from 1 species
UACGUAGGGUGCGAGCGUUAAUCGGAAUUACUGGGCGUAAAGCGUGCGCAGGUGGUUGUGUAAGUCAGAUGUGAAAUCCCCGGGCUCAACCUGGGAACUGCAUUUGAGACUGCACGGCUAGAGGAUGGCAGAGGGGGGUAGAAUUCCACGUGUAGCAGUGAAAUGCGUAGAGAUGUGGAGGAAUACCGAUGGCGAAGGCAGCCCCCUGGGCUAUUUCUGACACUCAUGCACGAAAGCGUGGGGAGCAAAC